GAGUACUUUAAAUUUUAUCCAAACUUUUUUUUUCUCAUCUUGGUCUGAAAGUCUCACUUCUCUAAUAUUUUUACUUCUCUAAUUCUCUGGCUAGUACUGGUUAACAGUGAUACCAUGGCAUUUAGCAGUUAUUAUGAUUUCUAUUCUAAUAUUUUAAUGCCAGCUGAUUUAAAAACCUGUUUUGAGGGAUCCCUGGGUGGCGCAGCGGUUUGGCGCCUGCCUUUGGCCCAGGGCGCGAUCCUGGAGACCCAGGAUCGAAUCCCACGUCGGGCUCCCAGUGCAUGGAGCCUGCCUCUCCCUCUGUCUAUGUCUCUGCCUCUCUCUCUCUCUGUGACUAUCAUAAAUAAUAAAUUAAAAAAAAAACAUAAAACCUUUAAAAAAAAAACUGUUUUGAUUGUAUACAUUUUGCUUCUAAAAUCUCAGGUUAUCUCCUGAACACUUUUGGAUCACUUUGACUUUUAUACCCCAAACAGUCCUUAGAGUAAAUUUCUAUUUACAUAGAGCUCAAAGAGAAGAUUGGAUAACCGAAUUUUUUCCCUCAAAAUACUUUGUAUAAUAAUUUAUUGUUACACUAACACCCAGUUCUGUAAGUACAUUUUAUGCUGUCAAAAAAAAAAAAUAGAAUCUGAUUGGUGUGUCUCAUAUAGAAUGUAUUUUAUGGAUGUCUUCUACUUUUGUAAUUUCAAAGUUCAGCGCUUUUUAGUUCAUGUGUUCUAGUUUUGAGCAUAUUCAAUGGACUGAAGUGCUCCAUUUUUUAGAGAUAGGAAAUUUACAAAAUUUCUGGCAUCUUAAAGACGUAUAUUGGGCAAAGUUUCUAAGAAAAUAAACAAUUUUUCUUCCUCUGGAAGAAAAAACUCUAUUCCAUAGGUUUCCAGGGAAAACAGUUACCCCAAUUUCACAUUGAGGCUAUAUUUUUAAAAAUCAGUGCUUUCCAGGGGUACUUGGGUGGCUCAGUUGUUAUGCAUCCGAUCUUGCUCUUAGCUAGGUCUCAAUCGACAGGUCAUGAGUUUGAGCCUCUUGCUGGGCUCCACACUGGGCAUUGAGCACACUUAAAAAAAAAAUCAAUGCUUUCCAAUAAAUUUUUAUCAAUAAUCUUUAAGUUAGACAUGAGACACUUGAUCCAGACUUUCAGAUUUACUCAGUUUGUCUAACCUCAAAACUAGUUGGUCUAAAAAUGAUAUGCAUUAUCUCAAGAAGUUUCAGCAAACUUCACUUAAGAAUUCUAUCACAAUGCUGCUGCUUCUAGAGGAGUAUUUCAUGGAUUUUAGAAUGGGAAAUGUUAAAGCAUUCACCUUGCAGAUUUGUGUUUAAGAUUAAUUUAAGAAUAUAUCCUUAAAUUUUUAUGCAUAUAAUUUAUAUAAUUUGUAAUGUAAAUUUAUGUAGCUCAUAAGUAUAUAAUGUCUAUGAUUUAUUUCAAUUUAAUAAGAAUUAAUAUAUUUUACGUUAUUGGGGCAAUAGUAAGGAAAUUUGUAGAUAGCUUCCUUCUAAAAUAAUUUGUUAUUUACAUUGUUUGGAAAAUACAACAGAAUAUGUACAAUGGAAAAGCUAUCUCAUAAUACCUAAGGCAAAUUUUAUUCUUAAAAAAAGUGUAUCUUGAGAUCCCUGGGUGGCUCAGCAAUUUAGCACCGCCUUCAGCCCAGGGCGUGAUCCUGGAGACCCGGGAUUGAGUCCCACUAGGGCUCCCUGCAUGGAGCCUGCUUCUCCCUCUGCCUGUGUCUCUGCCUCUCUCUUUCUCUGUGUCUCUCAUAAACAAAUAAAUAAAAUCUUUAAAAAAAAAGUGUAUCUUGAGUAACUAUGCUAAAGUAUUACCUGGUAAUCUUUUAGAUGAGCUUCAAAAUUACUUUUAUGAUGGGAGAAUAAUGUUUGCAUUUUGUAUGAAACUAAUUGGGAAAACAGACCUUGUUUAUACCGUCAAGGGGAAAAAGGCUUAUAGAGUAUGUAUGCUCUGAAUUUUUGCAAGUAACAGACUUCUGAUUUGUAUGCAAUUGUACUUUUACAUUUUAGUGUGAGAAAUGAAAAUUAUCCCAAGUAAUACAAUAUUUGUCUAUUUUAAAAUGCUGCCAAUCUUGGUAAAAUGCCCUCUAAAUCUUCCUGGAUUUGGAACCCAGCAGGUGACUCCUACUCUUCCUCCCGAUUCUCCCAUUCCGUAAGAUUUCUUUAACUUGAGUGUGUGUUGCCUCACUGUGUACUUCUGGCCCUGGGCUUGCUCAAGCAAAGGCAAAGCCUAUAAUUUGUUUCCCUUAACAGAGCUGAGGCAGACUGGGUUUUCAAAAACAACUUUACCCAAUACACGUAGAAAACAAAAGAGAAAUUUGAAAGGGGAAUUUGAAAAA
rnacentral:lncRNA from 1 species